rnacentral:rRNA from 1 species
CCUACGGGGGGCAGCAGUGAGGAAUAUUGGUCAAUGGGCGCAAGCCUGAACCAGCCAAGUCGCGUGAGGGAUGACGGUCCUAUGGAUUGUAAACCUCUUUUGUCGGGGAGCAAGGCCCGCCACGUGUGGCGGGAAGGAGAGUACCCGAAGAAAAAGCAUCGGCUAACUCCGUGCCAGCAGCCGCGGUAAUACGGAGGAUGCGAGCGUUAUCCGGAUUUAUUGGGUUUAAAGGUUGCGUAGACGGAAGGUUCAGUCGGUGGUCAAAUGUCGGUGCUAAAAACCGGCCUGCCGUUGAAACUGGUCUUCUGGAGGGAGCGAGAAGUAGGCGGAAUGCGUGGUGUAGCGGUGAAAUGCAUAGAUAUCACGCAGAACUCCGAUUGCGAAGGCAGCAUACCGGCGCGCAACUGACGCUGAGGCACGAAAGCGUGGGGAUCGAACAGGAUUAGAUACCCUUGUAGUC